AUUGAACGCUGGCGGCAUGCCUGACACAUGCAAGUCGAACGGCAGCACAGUAAAGACUUCGGUCUUUAUGGGUGGCGAGUGGCGGACGGGUGAGUAACGCGUAGGAAUCUGUCCUGGAGAGUGGGAUAACCCGAGGAAACUCGGGCUAAUACCGCAUGAUAUCGAGAGAUCAAAGGCAGGGGACCCUUCGGGGCCUUGCGCUCUAGGUUGAGCCUACGUCGGAUUAGCUAGUUGGUGGGGUAAAGGCCUACCAAGGCGACGAUCCGUAGCUGGGCUGAGAGGAUGACCAGCCACACUGGGAAUGGGACACGGCCCAGACUCCUACGGGAGGCAGCAGUGGGGAAUCUUGGACAAUGGGGGAAACCCUGAUCCAGCGAUGCCGCGUGUGUGAAGAAGGCCUUCGGGUUGUAAAGCACUUUAGGUGGGGAAGAAAGGUAAUGAGUGAAUAACUGAUUGCUUUGACGGUACCCGCAGAAUAAGCACCGGCUAACUCUGUGCCAGCCGCCGCGGUAA
rnacentral:rRNA from 1 species